UACAGAGGUCUUAAGCGUUGUUCGGAUUCAUUGGGCGUAAAGGGUGCGUAGGCGGCGCGGUAAGUCGGGUGUGAAAUCUUGGAGCUUAACUCCGAAACUGCAUUCGAUACUGCCGUGCUUGAGGACUGGAGAGGAGACUGGAAUUUACGGUGUAGCGGUGAAAUGCGUAGAUAUCGUAAGGAAGACCAGUGGCGAAGGCGGGUCUCUGGACAGUUCCUGACGCUGAGGCACGAAGGCCAGGGGAGCAAACGGG
rnacentral:rRNA from 1 species